ACGGCCAUACCCCAUUGAAAACACCGCUUCUCGUCCGAUCACCAAAGUUAAACAAUGUCAGGCCUGUUCAGUACUUGGGAGGGUGACCACCUGGGAACCUGGAUGCUGUAAGCU